UCAGCUCUGCCCACCGUGCCUGGUUAACCUGGCUCUUCCCGUCCACAGGUGACCAGAAUGGAGCUGUGGCCCGGGGCCUGGACGGCGCUGCUGCUGCUGCUCCUCCUCCUGCUGUCCACCCUGUGGUUCUGCAGCUCCAGUGCCAAGUAUUUCUUCAAGAUGGCCUUCUACAAUGGUUGGAUCCUCUUCCUGGCAAUACUCGCGAUCCCUGUGUGCGCCGUUCGAGGACGCAAUGUCGAGAACAUGAAGAUCUUGCGUCUGCUGCUGCUCCACGUCAAAUACUUGUAUGGGAUCCGAGUGGAGGUGCGGGGGGCUCAGCACUUCCCUCCCACACAGCCCUACGUUGUUGUCUCCAACCACCAGAGUUCCCUCGACCUGCUUG
rnacentral:lncRNA from 1 species